rnacentral:rRNA from 1 species
CCUACGGGAGGCAGCAGUGAGGAAUAUUGGUCAAUGGACGAGAGUCUGAACCAGCCAAGUCGCGUGAAUGAUGACUGCCCUAUGGGUUGUAAACUUCUUUUAUAUGGGAAUAAAAUGUUCCACGUGCGGGAUUUCGUAUGUACCAUAUGAAUAAGGAUCGGCUAACUCCGUGCCAGCAGCCGCGGUAAUUCUGAGGAUCCGAGCGUUAUCCGGAUUUAUUGGGUUUAAAGGGAGCGUAGGUGGAUUGUUAAGUCAGUGGUGAAAGUUUGCGGCUCAACCGUAAAAUUGCAGUUGAAACUAGCAGUCUUGAGUACAGUAGAGGUGGGCGGAAUUCGUGGUGUAGCGGUGAAAUGCUGAGAUAUCACGAAGAACAUCGAUUGCGAAGGCAGUUCACUGGACUGCAACUGACACUGAGGCUCGAAAGUGUGGGUAUGAAACAGGAUUAGAUACCCCUGUAGUC